UGCGGCCAUAUCUACCAGAAAGCACCGUUUCCCGUCCGAUCAACUGUAGUUAAGCUGGUAAGAGCCUGACCGAGUAGUGUAGUGGGUGACCA
rnacentral:rRNA from 1 species